GACGAACGCUGGCGGCAUGCCUAAUACAUGCAAGUCGAACGCACGAAGUUGAAAAGCUUGCUUUUUAACCAAGUGAGUGGCGGACGGGUGAGUAACACGUGGGUAACCUGCCCAUAAGAGGGGGAUAACAUCCGGAAACGGAUGCUAAUACCGCAUAUUUCAAGUGACCGCAUGGUCGCUUGAUGAAAGGUGGCUUCGGCUACCGCUUAUGGAUGGACCCGCGGUGCAUUAGUUAGUUGGUGAGGUAAUGGCUCACCAAGACCAUGAUGCAUAGCCGACCUGAGAGGGUGAUCGGCCACACUGGGACUGAGACACGGCCCAGACUCCUACGGGAGGCAGCAGUAGGGAAUCUUCCGCAAUGGACGAAAGUCUGACGGAGCAAUGCCGCGUGAGUGAAGAAGGUUUUCGGAUCGUAAAACUCUGUUGUUAGAGAAGAACAAGGAUGAGAGUAACUGCUCAUCCCCUGACGGUAUCUAACCAGAAAGCCACGGCUAACUACGUGCCAGCCGCCGCCGUAAUAC
rnacentral:rRNA from 1 species